rnacentral:rRNA from 1 species
CGGGACGAAUUUAAGGGCGUAUGGCGGAUGCCUUGACUUGAGAAGGCGAUGAAGGACGCGGCGUAGCUGCGAUAAGCUUCGGGGAGGUGCCUAGCAACCUUUGAUCCGGAGAUUUCCGAAUGGGGAAACCCAAUUGCGUAAACCGCAAUUAUUCCGAUGUUUAAUCGGAGAGCGAACCCGCUGAAGUGAAACAUCUCAGUAAGCGGAGGAACAGAAAACAAUAAUCGUAUUUCACUUUUGUCCAGACGAAGAUGGGCGAAAGUGAGAUGCGGUAAAAUUCCCUUAGUAGCGGCGAGCGAAAAGGGAGGAGCCCAAACUUUUUUUCGCAAGAAAAAAAGGGUUACAAGAUAAUAAGCUUUUGAGCAAUCAAAAAGAGAGUCCAAUCAACAAAGACUUCGUUAGCAAAAUCCGCUGGAAAGCGGAACCAAAGAGGGUGAUAGUCUCGUAAGCGAAAACGGUCUUUACUUUCUCGUCUUAUUAUUCUUAAGUAUUUCAAGAAAAGAUAACCUUGAAGGAAAUCGGCUGAACUAUCAGCCAAGGCUAAAUACUUCUCAAGAUCGAUAGUGAACAAGUACCGCGAGGGAAAGGUGAAAAGCAGGCCGGUGAGGCCUUUGAAAUAGAAUCUGAAACCAUACGUUUACAAGGAGCCGAAGUCCGUAUCCAACGCAAGUUGGAUGGACAACGACGUGCCUAUUGAAGAAUGAGCCAACGAGUGUAUGGGUGCUGCUCUAGAUUAAGUUGCCUCAGGCAACGGAGUCAUAGGGAAACCGAGUGUUAAUAGCGCGUUCGCAUCUCACUUUCUUUAAUAUUCUUUUGGCCGCAAGGCUUUAAGGAUUCUAAAGACAGGUGGGAUUGCAAGUAGCAUUUAUACGACCCGAAGCCAGGGCGAGCUUAUCAUGGCCAGGUUGAACCUUGACGAAAGUUGAGGGGAGGACCGAACCGGUGGGUAGUGCAAAACCUUCGGAUGAGCUGUGGUAAGAAGUGAAAAGCUAAUCGAGCCUGGUAAUAGCUGGUUCUCCUCGAAAUAGUUUUAGGACUAGCGCUUAUUUUAUUUUCUUGCAGGUAGAGCUACUGGUUGAAGGGUAAAGGGAGAAAUCUCGACUCUUUAGUCAAACUCCGAAUGGCGAGGAAUCACAAAUAAGCAGUCAGACUUCGGGGGCUUAGCUCCGUGGUCGAGUGGGCUUGAACCCUGAUCUUAAUCUAAGGUCCCUAAAUUUGGGUUAAGUGUAGGUAAUGUAGUGGUUAACCGAAGACAGAUAGUAGGUUGGCUUAGAGGUAGCCAUCCUUUAAAGAGUGUGUAACAACUCACUAUCAUAUCUGCGCAUCUCACCAAGGUGAGAUGCUAAAGUCAAAAAUAAAAAAUAAAAAAUCAAAAUAAUUGUGUUUUACAAAAAUUUCUUAAAAGAAAUUUUUGUAAACAUCUUUAAUUUUGCAUUUUGCAUUUUGAAUUUUAAAUUUAGCACCGAACUUUAGUGAGGUGCGUGGAUUGGUUGACCGCGCCGAAGAUGUAGCGGGGCUAAACCCAAUACCGAAGAUACGAAUGUUAUCGCUUUUAGCGAUAGCGUGGUAGAGGAGCAUUUCGUAUUCAUUGAAGCUCUAGCCGUGAGGCGGAGUGGAGGAUACGGAAGAGAGAAUGUUGGUAUGAGUAACCACAAAUUCGAUGAGAAAUCGAAUCGCCGUAAAUCCAAGGUUUCCGUGGCAAUGGCAAUCAGCCACGGGUUAGGCGACCCUAAGGCAAUGGCGAAAGCCGCAGCUGAUGGAUAGCUAGUUAAUAUUCUAGCCCCUCCAAUAGAUUUGAUGGAGUGACGGGGAAUAUAAGAUUACGUGUCUUAUUGGUUUGAUAUCGCUUAUUUCAAGGAAUGCUUGUCAGGUAAAUCCGGCAAGCUGCCUUUAAUGGCAAAUUUCGGAGAUCGGCGGAAGGUCGCUUCGGCGGCCAACGUAAUUGAAGAGUCCUCCGAGAAAAACUUCUAAAAUUAGUUUAUUGGAGAUCGUACCGUAAACCGACACAGGUGGAUUGGUGUAAGUGCACCAAGGCGAACGGGUGAUCUGCCGUUAAGGAACUCGGCAAACAAGCGGCCGUAAGUUCGCGAUAAGGCCUGCCCCGAUUAAUCUCGGGGCCGCAGCUAAAGAAUCUCUGGCAACUGUUUAAUAAAAACACAGGUUCCUGCUAACUCGUAAGAGGAUGUAUAGGAGCUGACGCCUGACCGAUGCGAGAAGGUCAAAGCCGUCGGUUUGUUCGUCGCAAGGCGGACAAGCUAAAUGGCUGAAGCCCUCGUCAAUGUCGGCGGUAACUAUAACCGUCCAAAGGUAGCGAAAUUCCUUGUCGGGUAAGUUCCGACGCGCAUGAAUGGCGUAAUGAUCAGAGAACUGUCUCAACGGCAAGCCCGGUGAAAAUGCGAUUCCAGCGAAGACGCUGGGUACCUGCGAUUAGACGAAAAGACCCCGGGAGCUUUACUGUAGCUUAGUAUUGGUCUUAAGUUGUUGUUGCGUAGCAUAGGUGGGAGGCUUUGAAAGUCCGAUUUCGGUUGGACUGGAGCCGUCAGUGAAAUACCACUCUGCAUCAAUUUAAGCUCUAACCCCAAUGGAAAAAACAGUGGGGGACAGUGCUUGGUGGGCAGUUUUUCUGGGGCGGAAUCCUCCUAAAAGGUAACGGAGGAGUUUAUAAGGUCGGCUAGGUGCGGAUGGAAAUCGCACUGGUUGUGUAAAGGCAGAAGCCGGCUUAACUGCGAGGCUGACAAGCCAAGCUUCUUUAUAUCACUAUAAAGAACAUUUCUUGGUUUUUAAUUAAGAAAUGAGAUGCGAAAGCAGAACUUAGUGACCCGAUGACUCUUUGUAGAAAGGUCAAAGACUUCGGACAAAAGCUACCCCGGGGAUAACAGGCUAGUCGGAUCCGAGAGUUCCUAUCGACGAUCCGGUUCGGCACCUCGAUGUCGGCUCAUCCUAGCGCGGGGCUGGAGAAGGUCCCAAGCGUUUGGCUGUUCGCCAAUUAAAAGGAUACGUGAGCUGGGUUUAAACCGUCAACUAAACUUGUUACUGUUAGCAAGUUUGGCGGCUUCUGGUAGUAAUGCCAGAAUGUAGAAAUCGACUCAUAUCGGUGAAGUCCUAACAACAUUUGAAUUUCAACCUGUCGUAUGUUAGGAUAAUACCGAGGGAAGUUGUAUAUGUCUAAAAGUAUUUCGUCAACUCAAAAAGCUUAUUUAGCGGGUUUCUUGGAUGGAGAUGGAAGCAUUUAUGUGCGUUUGAAGCCAAAUCCUAGUUAUAGAUUUGGGUUUCAAGUUGCGCCUUAUAUAGUUUUCUUCCAAUCCCAGAAAGAAAAAGAAAAAUUUCAGAAAAUUUGCGAUUUGGUUCAAUUGGGCCAUAUUCGCGAAAGAAAAGAUGGAAUUUUGGAAUACAUCGUUAAUAAGCAAGAGGCAAUCCGAAAAUUUAUUGAUUGGGUUAAGCCUUAUGUUAUUCUGAAAAAACAGCAAGUAGCAUUAAUGGUAGAAAUAUUAAAUAAAAAACAAUCAAUUAAUAAUUAUCAGGAUUUUCAAGAGUUGGCAAAAUUAAUAGAUAAAUUUAGAGAAAUUAAUUACUCUAAAAAACGAAAAAGACGUAUAUUAACCCCGUAGAGACUUUGUCGCUUUAAGCGGCAGAAGUUGCCUUCUAAAGGCAGCUAACACGUCGAUUGCCCCGAACGGGGGCAAUGGUAUAGUCCAUACCUUUAGUAAUAAAGGAUAAGUAUGCGUGAGACAGGUUGGUCUCUAUCUAUCGCAGGCGUUAGAUACUUGAGGGAAGUCGGCCCUAGUACGAGAGGACCGGGCUGAAUAAACCUCUGGUCUAUCGGCUUUCUUACCAAAGGAAUUGCCGAGUAGCUAUGUUUAGUCGGGAUAAACGCUGAAAGCAUAUAAGCGUGAAGCCCACCCCAAGAUUAGGUAUCUUCACUCCCUCAGAGAUGAUGAGGUUGAUAGGCUUCAGGUGUAAGGCCAGUAAUGGUUUUAGCCGAGAAGUACUAAUUGAGUGGUUUUCGUCCCGAU